CUGAACUCCGACGCGAGACGAGCACCGCUGACUUCGCGAGCCACACCCUCACGCCUCGCCUCGCCUCUCCGACAUCUGCGCUCCCAUUGGCCCGUUCCCGAGUCACUUAACGGAAACGGGCCUCCCAGUGGUAGAAAACUCAACUUCUCCCGCCUCUCCAGCGGAGGACGCGUCCAAGUUCUUUAGCGAGUGAGGGGGAAGGAAAAAGGGUCUGUGCGCUGAGUUGCGCGCGCACCUGCGGGUUUCCUCCGAAGUAAGCCCCACGGCGUCCAGUAGGGCUUACUCUCUAGUCAAGGAAUAUGACGCUCGCAAGGUUGGGCGAGCCUGUGACAAACACCCCUCUCCACCCAGGUUAAGGCUUCUAACGGGAAAGCCAACCAGAAAUGGGACCCCAGACUGGGGAAGAGGUCAGCGCGGACGUUGGGAUUUGAAUUUUAAGUUCAAGCCCUGCCCCGCUCUGAGUCUGAGCAGGCGCAGCCGAAGGGGGAGGGGGCUACAGGGGAGCCUCCCCAUUGGCUUAUUUGAGUGUCAGCUUGAUUUCUGGAGCUGUUUGGCCAGGCUGCCACCUAAUGGCACAGUGGGGAAGCACCUGCCUAGAGAGCAGGAGGCUGUUGGUUCGAAUCCCUCCUCAGGGCAGCAGUGAUAUAGGAAAGAUGCUGAAAGGCAUCAUCUCAUACUGCGCGGGAGAUGGCAAUGGUCAACUCCUCCUGUAUUCUACCAAAGAAGCACACAGGGCUUUGUGGGCACCAGGAGUCGACACUGACUCGAGGGCACAAGCUUUCCUUGGCCCGGCCAGUCUAUCUCAGCUCCCAUUUAAAAAAAUAAUGAUGAUGCUUAAAUUACGUUAGGCCUUCCCACACCCAUUGAGUGUUCGUUCAUGAACAAAAUAGAAAUUCCCAUUGGAAUUAGUGGUUGUGAGAGGGAAGCUUAGGAAGAGAUGCCUUUUUAAAGUGGUGAUGAUUCCCUUGCAUUUAGCAGGAGGAGAGCAACUGUCCCUUUCCCUCCCCGUCACAGCAUCCUUCCAGAGGUUGUUACUGGCUUUAAGUACCUGGUAUUGCUCAGGCUUAUGAAGAUCAAGACAUUGGAGCAUGCUGACCCAAGUUUUUUGACAAGACUGACUUCCACGGGCACUUGACAAAGAGGAAUCUCGAAAGAGAGGUCUCCAGGUCCCCAUAGUGUGUGUGGACCUUUUCAUUCAUAUUUCCACUUCAUGGACUCCAGUGCUCUAUUUUGAUCCAUAGUGUGUGGACUCAUUCAUUUAUGUGUUGUACUCAUUUCUACACUAUGGAUUCCAUUGUUUCCUGUUGAAAAUACAAUUGUUCUAUCCAUAUUUAUUAACUGAACUGUACAAAUAUAUUUUCUAUAAUAGUA